GCGAGGGUGCCUUCGGGAGCCGUAAGACAGGUGCUGCAUGGCUGUCGUCAGCUCGUGUCGUGAGAUGUUGGGUUAAGUCCCGCAACGAGCCGCAACCCCUAUCCACAGUUGCCAUCAUUAAGUUGGGCACUCUGUGGAGACUGCCGGUGUUAAACCGGAGGAAGGUGGGAUGACGUCAAGUCCUCAUGGCCCUUAUGACCAGGGCUACACACGUGCUACAAUGGCCGGUACAAAGAGUUGCGAUACCGCGAGGUGGAGCUAAUCUCAUAAAGCCGGUCUCAGUUCGGAUUGGAGUCUGCAACUCGACUCCAUGAAGUUGGAAUCGCUAGUAAUCGCGGAUCAGCACGCCGCGGUGAAUACGUUCCCAGGCCUU
rnacentral:rRNA from 1 species